UGCAUGUCUAAGUAUAAGCAAUCUAUACGGUGAAACUGCGAAUGGCUCAUUAAAUCAGUUAUCGUUUAUUUGAUAGUACCUUACUACUUGGAUAACCGUGGUAAUUCUAGAGCUAAUACAUGCUAAAAACCCCGACUUCGGAAGGGGUGUAUUUAUUAGAUAAAAAACCAAUGCCCUUCGGGGCUCCUUGGUGAUUCAUAAUAACUUAACGAAUCGCAUGGCCUUGUGCCGGCGAUGGUUCAUUCAAAUUUCUGCCCUAUCAACUUUCGAUGGUACAGUAGUGGUCUACCAUGGUUUCAACGGGUAACGGGGAAUUAGGGUUAACUAUAGAGCCCAUAAUAUUAGGUCACUAGUAGUCUAUGUUAUAGGCGACACACCUGGAUGUCGAGGAAAUCUUUACAGCCUACAGUACUAUCCAGCGGGUAACACCCGCUGCCCAUUUAGGGAGUAACAACCUGUAGGAUUAGAUGACUCGCAGCCGAGUUGGCACUGUGCUGGCCGGUUCAACGCUCGCUAAGGUGUGGGCUCGGUCGAGUUUAAGGUACGGGCUACUCCUACUGGAGACAGUGGGUAAUUAGGUCUAUUCCGGAGAAGGAGCCUGCGAAACGGCUACUACGUCCAAGGAAGGCAGCAGGCGCGCAAAUUACCCAAUCCCGACACGGGGAGGUAGUGACAAUAAAUACUGAUACAGGGCUCUUUUGGGUCUUGUAAUUGGAAUGAGUACAAUUUAAAUCCCUUAACGAGGAACAAUUGGAGGGCAAGUCUGGUGGACUCAGUCCCAGAAGCAUUGCUUCUUGCUGACGCCAGAAAUAGUUAUAUUACUAGUCGACUGUACUUAUAAGCUUUGGGUGUACAGCGGCAAGACAACCUGGACCGGGGAAGGCUACGGUAGUGAAUUUCCUACUAUGCUGAUCCCGAGCCGAGCUCCUGAGGCGAUUCUCAGAGAGCCGGUGUAGAGCACGCAAAGGUGUCGGUUGCCCUACAAUGUAGGCAGCUUAAGGUACGUGCCAUCUCACACGAAAGUGUGCUUUUAACAGGAGCUCCCAAAGAGUAAAUGUUUAAAGACACAGGGGAUCUAUCCUCUGUGUAGGGACAAGAUAUGUGGCUUGUGGGGAUUAUAGACAAGCUAGCCACAUUCAUGUCCGUAUACAUGGCCAGCAGCCGCGGUAAUUCCAGCUCCAAUAGCGUAUAUUAAAGUUGUUGCAGUUAAAAAGCUCGUAGUUGAACCUUGGGCCUGGCUGGCCGGUCCGCCUCACCGCGUGCACUGGUCCGGCCGGGUCUUUCCUUCUGGGGAACCUCAUGCCCUUCACUGGGUGUGUUGGGGAACCAGGACUUUUACUUUGAAAAAAUUAGAGUGUUCAAAGCAGGCCUAUGCUCGAAUACAUUAGCAUGGAAUAAUAGAAUAGGACGUGUGGUUCUAUUUUGUUGGUUUCUAGGACCGCCGUAAUGAUUAAUAGGCUCAGUCGGGGGCGUCAAUAUUCAAUUGUCAGAGGUGAAAUUCUUGGAUUUAUUGAAGAUUAACUACUGCGAAAGCAUUCGCCAAGGAUGUUUUCAUUAAUCAGUGAACGAAAGUUAGGGGAUCGAAGACGAUCAGAUACCGUCGUAGUCUUAACCAUAAACUAUGCCGACUAGGGAUCGGGCGAUGUUAUCUUUUUGACUCGCUCGGCACCUUACGAGAAAUCAAAGUGUGGUUCUGGGGGGAGUAUAGUCGCAAGGCCGAAACUUAAAGAAAUUGACGGAAGGGCACCACCAGGAGUGGAGCU
rnacentral:sRNA from 1 species